GCUUUUCCGAUCUCUGGAAACAGAGGCACACUGUUGGCUCUCGCAAGACAGAGCAAGCUGGCUGCAGCGCAUGACUGCUGGAAGGUCACGCUCAUUUCCCUCCUUAAGUCAUUUAAUUUCCCUCUUCCAUCUCACUCUCAUGAGUUUCACAAAAAGUGACUUUUUUACUAGUUUCUAUCCUUGAACACUCAGGCCAGAGGUGAUCUCCUUGGUGAAGUCUUCCUGAUCCCCUGACUCACUCCCUGAGAAGCUGGACGCUGCUCUGUGUUGGCCCCGAACUUUGUACACAGAGCUGUGUGAAUCAGUGAGCACGUGCCUGGUCUGUUUCUCUCUAAGACUGUCAGACCUCAGAGCAGGGCGGCUGUCUGCUCACCUCUGGGACUCCACAUCCAGCAUGCAAAAAAUAUUCAAUGAGACUGUGUUGAGGGAUGGAGGGAAGGAACAGAAUGAAGGAAGGAGAACUGAUUUCCAAUUCUUCUCAUGUUGUGUCACCAUUAUCCAAGCCAGAUUCUGCCCCCUGCACUCAAUCUGCCAGGUGGCGAAGGGAAAUAUUGCCAAUUACACUGUAUACCUUUCACCUUACAAAAUUCUUUUUUUUUUAAAUUUGGCCUUUACAUCAGCUCUUUCAGCGCAAUGUAAAGUCAGUCUCAGUGAGGCAGGGUUGGGGCCAAGCAGGAGUAGUGAUGGAGGAGAAAAAGAACUGGAGAGUGAAGGCAGGUGGAUGCCAGCCCGGAGUGUCUCCUGUUGAAACUGCAUCAAGGGACGCAGAGUGAAUUAACCACAGGGAUUAGCUUUGCAAUUUCUGAAACAUGAGCAGAGGGGUGUCUGGUAGAGGAUGAUUAGCAGCAACUGGGCAGAAGUCUUUAUUCCAAGGUGCUGGGCACCUUAUAAAUGGCUAAAUGUAUCAUCCCUGCCCAGGACAGGGUGAGCCAUGGUGAGGACCGAGCCUUCUCGAAGCAGAAUGCGCAAACAUGGCAGCAUCAGCAAAGGCGACACAAAGAUGGAAGGUGAAGCAUGGAGCGGGGCCGUGAUUGCCCUUUUACAGGCGGCCAGCAGUGGGUGAGCUCGCGGCAAGUAGCAAUUCCCCAGGCGGGUCAUAAAGUGAGAACGCUCUUUCCUUCUCCCCGGACAAAGGCGGGAAGGGGGCUGACGUGUGCUCUCUGGGAUGAAAUGCAGUCCUGAACACGCUGCGCUAAGCUCAUGACAUAAAUAACAACAUUAAAAUCACUAGCACCACGGCCACAUGACACAACAAUGAACAAUGCGGAGGAACAGGGUGCGGGAGUGAAAGGGCUCUUCCCCAACACGCUUUCAACUGUACUGGAGAAACCUGAGCCCCUACGAGUAAUCCGAUUUAUCUGCUAUCCAGCCUUCCAAGGCACGAUCCUUAGGUAUGUCAGCAUCUAAGGGGGAAGAGAAGAUUAUCUGCCCAGAAGGGGAAGUCGUGAUUCAGUAACAUAUGUAAUGAAAGUCAGUGGGAAAUCUGUACAGACUGCUGGGGACCAGGUUACGGUCAGCCGGCUGGGACUCGGGAGGGGCUGGCAGCAAGAGAGUGGUGUGUCCCUGCAGGGAGAGUCCCGGUACCCACCACGCUGAUGCUAUGAGGUUGGAGCUCUUUAAGAGGGAAAUCAGAGCAUGAAAAUAGUGGUUUCAUGGGGCAAGCUUUCAAAUGUGACUUCCAAUUUCACAGAUGGCUUUUUGACCUCUCAGUGCAUUAAGAGAGGCAGUGAAUGGAAGGACGGUGACUUUCUCCCUAAAGAUAAUAUAUGGAGUAGCUGUCUGUAAGACUUGGACUCAACAUAUUUUAUGGAGCAAAAAUAUUAUUGGAAGUGGC